GACAGUGUGGUGUAGUGAUUUGAGCACAGGACUAUGAUUCCAGAGACCAGGGUUCAACUCCCAGCUUGGCCC